rnacentral:rRNA from 1 species
AUUGAACGCUGGCGGCAUGCCUUACACAUGCAAGUCGAACGGCAGCACGGGAGCAAUCCUGGUGGCGAGUGGCGAACGGGUGAGUAAAGUAUCGGAACGUGCCCAGUAGUGGGGGAUAACGUAGCGAAAGUUACGCUAAUACCGCGUACGAUCUAUGGAUGAAAGCGGGGGAUCGCAAGACCUCGCGCGAUUGGAGCGGCCGAUAUCAGAUUAGGUAGUUGGUGGGGUAAAGGCUCACCAAGCCGACGAUCUGUAGCUGGUCUGAGAGGACGACCAGCCACACUGGGACUGAGACACGGCCCAGACUCCUACGGGAGGCAGCAGUGGGGAAUUUUGGACAAUGGGCGAAAGCCUGAUCCAGCCAUGCCGCGUGCAGGAUGAAGGCCUUCGGGUUGUAAACUGCUUUUGUACGGAACGAAAAGGUUUGGCCUAAUAAGCUGAGCUCAUGACGGUACCGUAAGAAUAAGCACCGGCUAACUACGUGCCAGCAGCCGCCGCGG